UGGCGAACGGGUGAGUAACGCGUGAGGAACCUGCCUCAAAGAGGGGGACAACAGUUGGAAACGACUGCUAAUACCGCAUAAGCCCACGGGUCGGCACCGACCUGAGGGAAAAGGAGCAAUCCGCUUUGAGAUGGCCUCGCGUCCGAUUAGCUAGUUGGUGAGGUAACGGCCCACCAAGGCGACGAUCGGUAGCCGGACUGAGAGGUUGAACGGCCACAUUGGGACUGAGACACGGCCCAG
rnacentral:rRNA from 1 species